AUUGAACGCUGGCGGCAUGCUUUACACAUGCAAGUCGAACGGCAGCGCGGGCUUCGGCCUGGCGGCGAGUGGCGAACGGGUGAGUAAUACAUCGGAACGUGCCCAGUAGUGGGGGAUAGCUCGGCGAAAGCCGGAUUAAUACCGCAUACGACCUGAGGGUGAAAGCGGGGAACUUUGGGACUUCGCGCAAUUGGAGCGGCCGUUGGCAGAUUAGCUAGUUGUGGGGGUAAAGGCCUACCAAGGCGACGAUCUGUAGCUGGUCUGAGAGGACGACCAGCCACACUGGGACUGAGACACGGCCCAGACUCCUACGGGAGGCAGCAGUGGGGAAUUUUGGACAAAGGGCGAAAGCCUGAUCCAGCAAUGCCGCGUGUGUGAUGAAGGCCUUCGGGUUGUAAAGCACUUUUGGCGGGAACGAAAAGGACUGUGCCAAUACCACGGUUCGAUGACGGUACCCGCAGAAUAAGCACCGGCUAACUACGUG
rnacentral:rRNA from 1 species